UACGAAGGGUGCAAACGUUGCUCGGAAUUAUUGGGCGUAAAGCGCACGUAGGCGGUAUCGCAAGUCCCAUGUGAAAGCCCACGGCUUAACCGUGGAAGUGCAUGGGAAACUGCAGUACUUGAGUACUUAAGAGGAUCGCGGAAUUCCCGGUGUAGAGGUGAAAUUCGUAGAUAUCGGGAGGAACACCAGUGGCGAAAGCGGCUUCCUGGUCCAGCACCGACGUCAGGCACGAAAGCGUGGGGAGCAAACAGG
rnacentral:rRNA from 1 species